rnacentral:tRNA from 1 species
GCCGCCGUAGCUCAGGGGUAGAGCACCGCUAUGGUAAAGCGGGGGUCACGAGUUCAAUUCUCGUCGGCGGCUCCA